GACGAACCGUGCGAACGUUAUUCGGAAUCACUGGGCUUAAAGGGCGCGUAGGCGGGUCAUCAAGUCCGGGGUGAAAUCCCACGGCCCAACCGUGGAAGUGCCUUGGACACUGAAGACCUCGAGGGGGAUAGGGGCGUGCGGAACUCAGGGUGGAGCGGUGAAAUGCGUAGAUAUCCUGAGGAACACCGGUGGCGAAAGCGGCGCGCUGGAUCCCUUCUGACGCUGAGGCGCGAAAGCGUGGGGAGCGAACAGG
rnacentral:rRNA from 1 species